AUGUUUAUUAAGCCAAACCGACAUUAUUUUUUUCAUCUAAAACGUUUUUUAUGUGUUUUUUUUCUCAUCGCGUUUAGGCGUUGUGUAUCAGAUCGCAACUGCUAAUAAUUUCGUCGUCUGAGGCGGACUGUUAUGGAGGUACCAAAUCUUCAGUGAUGAUGAAUGCGUUCACGAAUCUACGAGCCGGUGAUUGGCGGUAUCCAGAUCAUCGUCGUACUGUUAGCUUACCUAAGCUACCAAAAUUAGUGACAGCGUAAAAUUUGUGCUGUGAGGAUUACAGCUGACUCUCACAACCGUCCGGAAGUCGCAGUAAUUUGGUAACAAAAAGAUCAUCACCACCGCACGAAGCGCAGCAUAUUGAAGCAAGCCCAAGCGGAUAGCAACCACCUGCAGCAAACGUACGCCGAACUAAUGGACGUGGUAGACGCGUUAUGAUUGCAAGACGAUAUUUGCGCUCUGAAAACGCUAGCACAGAUGUUUGAGCCACAGAGGUGACGUUCCGAGAGUGUAAAAACUUGCCGUGCCCACAGUUUCAGAUAAGCCGUUCUCAUCAAUGCCAUAUUAUGUACCGUCGGUUAGUUACACUUCAUAACGAAGGACAAUCACAUCUGGUUAACGGAAUGCUGCCAAAACGAUGAAGCUGGCUUAGCCCUCGAUGACGACGCAACUCCUGCACGUUCGUCGUCAUACUUUCAUUUCAACUGGAGGCAUGUUUGUUUUAGGCGGCUACAACAUGUUGUUUGAACAUGUUGAAUAGAACAAACAUGUUGAUAAUGUUUAAUUUAAUUACAGGUGAAUGCUGGAAAUCUCUGUGAUAACCGUUUUCGUGCGCUGAAUAAGGUUUGUAUGAAAAAUAGUGUAUUUUUAGAAUAUUUUAUUUUUCAAUAAAGUAACGGUA